rnacentral:RNase_P_RNA from 1 species
UCAGUUGGCCGGGCAGCCGCGCCUGUCAUAUGCCGAAAGGCGGCAGGCGAGGAAAGUCCGGGCUCCAUGGAAACACGAUGCCGGGUAACGCCCGGCGGGGGUGACCCCAGGGAAAGUGCCACAGAAAGCAGACCGCCCCGUCUUCCGUUAUGCCAAAAACCGGGCAUAAGGGAUGACGGGGUAAGGGUGAAAGGGUGGGGUAAGAGCCCACCGCGUCUCCGGUAACGGCGACGGCACGGUAAACCCCAUCGGGAGCAAGACCGAAUAGGGACGGCGUGCCGGGUGAAAGCCCGGCGAUCUGUUUCCGGAUCAGUCGUCCGGGUAGGUUGCAAGAGGCGGGUGGCGACAUCCGUCCCAGAUGAAUGGCUGCCACGUUGGACGCAAGUCCAGCCAUACAGAACCCGGCUUACAGGCCAACUGACAUU